CAGCAACAGGCGUCCGCAACAAAAUUUCUUAUGAGAAUAUUCCCCGGAAUAUUCGAGUAAGAAACAAAAAGGUCGCCUGUGGUUUUAUUUCUACUAAAUCAUUGAACCAGUGGGAAUUAUGGAGUUUUCUAUAGCUUAAGGCAUAGAAUGAUGACAUGGAUGGGCCAUAUGAUUUCCGGUGCACGUGUUUCGAAUUUUGCAACAUGAAACCAACAAGAACCAUCGUUUAGUUGCUGAAAGAUGUCGGGGUUCAAACUGAACACCGACUUCUAAAUGUUCUUGCCCGGUGAAAAUGGGAAUUCUUGCCUGGUGAAAAAUGAUUUUCGCUAAAAUGAAACUCCAACCCAGGCGGAAUAGUUUUGGUGCCAAAAAAAAUUGUUUAGCUACCAUUUUGAACUGGGUUGCACUAAGUUUUCGUCCGUGGGGAGCAACCCAUGUUAUAAGCCGGGCUUAAUUUAGGCUUGGUAGUUUCAUUCAUGAAAAAAAACUCAUUUGACGCAGACAUAACUGUUCCGACAACUUACUACUGGAUCAAAAAUUCAAUGGCAACUUAUUUCAACGUUAGACAACAUAAUUCCAGAACAUACAACUACUUCCUAUCUAUGUCGCAGAAGUGGAGAGGAAACCCGGUGAGUGAUUAAUAAUAAGUUUUAUUUUAAGUAAUUAUACGAACUGGCCUGGCAUUUAAAGGUCAUGUAUUUGAUACAUAAUUUAAGGUUCCAAAGUAGCUAACUAAAAAAAAUUAAAAACAAUUAACACAAAUCAUGCUCAAAUACAAUGGUACCAGAAAAUAAAUAAUAAAACACAGUGGACUUGUACCAUAGUUAAAAAAAAAACAAAUAAAUUAAAUAAAUAAGUAAAAAUCAAUAAAUUAACUAAAAGUAAAUAUCACAGAUUUUGAUUAUUCUAAAGAAUUAAUCUAAACUUAAACUAAAUAUCACAGAUUAUACUUUUUGUAAAACUAUUAAAAUAAAUUAUGCUAAUUAAGAUAAAAAAAAAAAUAUCACAGUAUGUAAGUUAGUACCUAAGCUAUCAGUCAAUUAUAAAAAAAAUUAAAAAUAUCACAGGGCAAGUGGUUAGUAACUUAUCUCUAGAAAUCACAGAUGCUCAUACUAACUACUAUUUAUAAUCUAAUAUCACAGUUAGUUUAAAAUAAUUUAAAAGCUAAUAAAUAAAUAACAUUCAACAGUAAACAUAAAAUAACACAUAACAUAUAAAAUAAAUUAAAGGCAUGCAAUAAACAUAUAAAUUUAAUACAGCAAACAUUUUUUUAAUCUUUUAUAUCAACAUCGUUGGGAAAUUAUUUUGACACAGGGUGUUUCGAACAUGAGGUUUAUUUUGUUUUGUUUUAUUUUGUUUUUUUUUUUUCAUCUCUUAUUACAAAAUUGUCUACGAAUCGUUAAAACUUUUUCGAGUAUUUUAAACGGCAUUUUCGGAUAAAUAUAUAAAAUUUGUUUAUUGUUUGAGGUCUUUCGCGUGGAAUAUACCGAUUCGUUUACCAUUAAGAUUUUCAAGUUCGUACAUGUGAUUGCCAACUUGUUUUACUACUCGGCACUUUAUGUAUUUUGGUGACAGUUUCGCCGAAAGAUAUUUUGAUGAGUCACUUAGUACAAAAUUCCUCCGGUACACCUCUUGUCCAGGGAUAUAACGAACAUUCUUAGUUCGGACAUUAUUAUGUUCUCGCGGAUUUGUCAUUAGCCUUCAUAAUGUUUUCUCGAAUCUGAUUCCUUAUGCACUGCAAUCGAUUUUGUCGGGGAAGAGUUAACAACUCAUUGUCGUCCAUCGCGUUCAACUUUCUAGCAAGCUCAUAACUACUACCGUGCAUCAUCAUAUUAGUACCAAAUAAAGCAUAAUAAGGUGAUACACCAAUAGAGCUAUGAACUGCACUCCUUAAUGCACAAGCAAUAUCUCCAAGGUGGGAAUCCCAAUCUUUUUGAUCACUUUUGAGGUAU